UAGGUUUUAAUUGGUGAACAGGACCCAAAUGUAGACAGAACACAGAGACAGGAGUGUGAAUUAACAGGUUUAUUUAAAGUACUCAAGUAUCAAGUCUAGAUUUUUGAGGGGGAAAAGCACAUUCAGGUUUCCCGGGUGAA